rnacentral:rRNA from 1 species
AACGAACGCUGGCGGCAGGCCUAAAACAUGCAAGUCGAACGGGUGUAGCAAUACAUCAGUGGCGCACGGGUGAGUAACGCGUGGGAACGUGCCCUUCAGUACGGGACAACGUCGGGAAACUGACGCUAAUACCGUAUAAUAUCUCCGGAUCAAAGAUUUAUCGCUGAAGGAUCGGCCCGCGUCUGAUUAGUUUGUUGGUGAGGUAACGGCUCACCAAGACUACGAUCAGUAGCUGGUCUGAGAGGAUGAUCAGCCACACUGGGACUGAGACACGGCCCAGACUCCUACGGGAGGCAGCAGUAGGGAAUAUUGGACAAUGGGGGGAACCCUGAUCCAGCCAUGCCGCGUGAGGGAAGAAGGUCCUCUGGAUUGUAAACCUCUUUUGGCAGGAAANAAACCUGCGCUAUACGCGCAGCUGAGGGUACCUGCAGAAUAAGCACCGGCUAACUCCGUGCCAGCAGCCGCGG